rnacentral:rRNA from 1 species
AGUGAACGCUGGCGGUAGGCCUAACACAUGCAAGUCGAACGGCAGCACAGUAAGAGCUUGCUCUUACGGGUGGCGAGUGGCGGACGGGUGAGGAAUACAUCGGAAUCUACUUUUUCGUGGGGGAUAACGUAGGGAAACUUACGCUAAUACCGCAUACGACCUACGGGUGAAAGCAGGGGAUCUUCGGACCUUGCGCGAUUGAAUGAGCCGAUGUCGGAUUAGCUAGUUGGCGGGGUAAAGGCCCACCAAGGCGACGAUCCGUAGCCGGUCUGAGAGGAUGAUGUGCAACACUGGAACUGAGCCACGGUCCAGACUCCUACGGGAGGCAGCAGUAGGGGUGGUUGAGCAAUGGGCGAGAGCCGGACGGAGCAUUGCCACGUGAAUGAAGAAAGUCUUCGGAUCGUAAAACUCUUUUAUGAGAGCAGAACAAAGAUGGACGUAAAUAUGCAUGUCGUGACGGUACCUAAUCAGAGGGCCACGGCUCACUACGUG